rnacentral:rRNA from 1 species
CCUACGGGAGGCUGCAGUGGGGAAUAUUGGACAAUGGGGGGAACCCUGAUCCAGCCAUGCCGCGGGUGUGAAGAAGGCCCUCGGGUUGUAAAGCACUUUCAGUGAGGAAGAACGCCUGGUGGUUAAUACCCAUCAGGAAAGACAUCACUCACAGAAGAAGCACCGGCUAACUCCGUGCCAGCAGCCGCGGUAAUACGGAGGGUGCGAGCGUUAAUCGGAAUUACUGGGCGUAAAGCGCGCGUAGGUGGCUUGAUAAGCCGGUUGUGAAAGCCCCGGGCUCAACCUGGGAACGGCAUCCGGAACUGUCAAGCUAGAGUGCAGGAGAGGAAGGUAGAAUUCCCGGUGUAGCGGUGAAAUGCGUAGAGAUCGGGAGGAAUACCAGUGGCGAAGGCGGCCUUCUGGACUGACACUGACACUGAGGUGCGAAAGCGUGGGUAGCAAACAGGAUUAGAUACCCCGGUAGUC